rnacentral:rRNA from 1 species
AGUGAACGCUGGCGGUAGGCCUAACACAUGCAAGUCGAACGGCAGCACAGUAAGAGCUUGCUCUUACGGGUGGCGAGUGGCGGACGUGUGAGGAAUACAUCGGAAUCUACUUUUUCGUGGGGGAUAACGUAGGGAAACUUACGCUAAUACCGCAUACGACCUACGGGUGAAAGCAGGGGAUCUUCGGACCUUGCGCGAUUGAAUGAGCCGAUGUCGGAUUAGCUAGUUGGCGGGGUAAAGGCCCACCAAGGCGACGAUCCGUAGCUGGUCUGAGAGGAUGAUCAGCCACACUGGAACUGAGACACGGUCAAGACUCCUACGGGAGGCCGCAGUGGGGAAUAGUGGACAAUGGGCGCAAGCAUGAUCCAGCCAUAGCGCGUGGGUGAAGAAGGCCUUCGGGUUGUAAAGCCCUUUUGUUGGGAAAGAAAAGCAGCAGGUUAAUACCCCGCUGUUCUGACGGUACCCAAAGAAUAAGCACCGGCUAACUUCGUG